GCAGACCGCGAACAUGUUAAACCACUUGGGAUCGAGGCACGGGGGAAACUUCGUGUCGAGUCCCCAUCUCGUGAGCGUGUGUUCGAUCUCGAACGCUCGUUCCACGGGCUAACGAACCCCGGCGCGGCAUGCGCCAAGGAAUACUCACAGAAGCGUCCGCCUUCAUCGCCCCGUUCUCGGUGUGCGAUGUUGGUUGGUACGUCUCUCCAAAGUCUAAACGACUCUCGGCAACGGAUAUCUCGGCUCUCGCAUCGAUGAAGAACGUAGCGAAAUGCGAUACUUGGUGUGAAUUGCAGAAUCCCGUGAACCAUCGAGUCUUUGAACGCAAGUUGCGCCCGAAACCAUUCGGUUGAGGGCACGUCUGCCUGGGCGUCACGCAUCGCGUCGCCCCAUUCUCCAUCCCGCACGCGGUGAUCGAGUUUUGGGGYGGAUAUUGGCCCCCCGUGUACGUCAGUACGUGGUCGGCCUAAAUGCGAACCCGCGGCGACUCGCGUCACGAACAGUGGUGGUUGAACACUCAACUUUCUUGCUAUCGCGUCGAACGUAGUUGCUUGUCGGGCGUCGUAAUUAACCCAAUGGCUUGAUCUUAUCUAGCUUUCGACCGCGACCCCAGGUCAG
rnacentral:rRNA from 1 species